UACGGAGGGGGCAAGCGUUGUUCGGAAUUACUGGGCGUAAAGCGCACGUAGGCGGACAUUUAAGUCAGGGGUGAAAUCCCGGGGCUCAACCCCGGAACUGCCUUCGAAACGGCAUGUCUUGAAUGUGGGAGAGGAUGAUGGAAUUCCUGGUGUAGCGGUGAAAUGCGUAGAUAUCAGGAGGAACACCCGUGGCGAAGGCGACUGCCUGGACCAGUACUGACACUGAGGCACGAAAGCGUGGGGAGCAAACAGG
rnacentral:rRNA from 1 species